rnacentral:rRNA from 1 species
GAUGAACGCUGGCGGCGUGCUUAACACAUGCAAGUCGAACGGAAAGGCCCCUGCUUGCAGGGGUACUCGAGUGGCGAACGGGUGAGUAACACGUGGGUGAUCUGCCCUGCACUUCGGGAUAAGCCUGGGAAACUGGGUCUAAUACCGGAUAGGACGAUGGUUUGGAUGCCAUUGUGGAAAGUUUUUUCGGUGUGGGAUGAGCUCGCGGCCUAUCAGCUUGUUGGUGGGGUAAUGGCCUACCAAGGCGUCGACGGGUAGCCGGCCUGAGAGGGUGUACGGCCACAUUGGGACUGAGAUACGGCCCAGACUCCUACGGGAGGCAGCAGUGGGGAAUAUUGCACAAUGGGCGCAAGCCUGAUGCAGCGACGCCGCGUGGGGGAUGACGGCCUUCGGGUUGUAAACUCCUUUCGCUAGGGACGAAGCGCAAGUGACGGUACCUGGAGAAGAAGCACCGGCUAACUACGUG